rnacentral:rRNA from 1 species
UACGAAGGGGGCUAGCGUUGCUCGGAAUCACUGGGCGUAAAGGGUGCGUAGGCGGGUUCUUAAGUCAGAGGUGAAAUCCUGGAGCUCAACUCCAGAACUGCCUUUGAUACUGAGAGUCUUGAGUUCGGGAGAGGUGAGUGGAACUGCGAGUGUAGAGGUGAAAUGCGCAGAUAUCAGGAAGAACACCUAUGGCGAAGGCAGCUCUCUGGGACGGUACUGACGCUGAGACGCGAAAGCGUGGGGAGCGAACAGG